rnacentral:rRNA from 1 species
CAAGUACGCUGUGCGGAGGCCUAAACAUGCAGUCGAACGAGAAGCGGUAGCAAUACUGCGAGUAAAGUGGCGAACGGGUGAGUAACACGUAAACAAUCUGCCCCUAAGUGGGGGAAAACCUGGGGAAACUCGGGCUAAUCCCCCGUAAGGUGACGAAAACGCAUGUUUUUGUCAUUAUAGAUUUAUCGCUUAGGGAGGAGUUUGCGUCUGAUUAGCUAGAUGGCGGAGUAAUAGCCCACCAUGGCUAUGAUCAGUAGCUGGUCUGAGAGGAUGAUCAGCCACACUGGGACUGAGAUACGGCCCAGACUCCUACGGGAGGCAGCAGUGAGGAAUAUUGCGCAAUGGGCGAAAGCCUGACGCAGCAACGCCGCGUGUAGGAUGAAAUCCUUCGGGAUGUAAACUACUGUUGAAGGGGAAGAAUAUCCUGAUUUAUCGGGAGAUGACGGUACCCUUAGAGAAAGCCACGGCUAACUCUGUGCCAGCAGCCGCGGUAAUACAGGGGUGGCAAGCGUUGUCCGGAAUUACUGGGUGUAAAGGGUGCGUAGGCGGGUGAAUAAGUCAGUGGUAAAAUCCUACAGCUCAACUGUAGACCCACCAUUGAUACUGUCCAUCUUGAGUACGAGAGGGAAGAGUGGAAUUCCCAGUGUAGCGGUGAAAUGCGUAGAGAUUGGGAAGAACACCAGUAGCGAAGGCGGCUCUUUAGCUCGUUACUGACGCUGAUGCACGAAAGCGCGGGGAGCAAACAGGAUUAGAUACCCUGGUAGUCCGCGCCCUAAACGAUGAGGACUAGGUGUCGGGCCGCAAGGUUCGGUGCCGCAGCUAACGCAUUAAGUCCUCCACCUGGGGAAUACGGCCGCAAGGGUUG